AGUGAACGCUGGCGGUAGGCCUAACACAUGCAAGUCGAACGGCAGCACAGAGGAGCUUGCUCCUUGGGUGGCGAGUGGCGGACGGGUGAGGAAUACAUCGGAAUCUACUCUGUCGUGGGGGAUAACGUAGGGAAACUUACGCUAAUACCGCAUACGACCUACGGGUGAAAGCAGGGGACCUUCGGGCCUUGCGCGAUUGAAUGAGCCGAUGUCGGAUUAGCUAGUUGGCGGGGUAAAGGCCCACCAAGGCGACGAUCCGUAGCUGGUCUGAGAGGAUGAGCAGCCACACUGGAACUGAGACACGGUCCAGACUCCUACGGGAGGCAGCGGUGGGGAAUAUUGGACAAUGGGCGCAAGCCUGAUCCAGCCAUACCGCGUGGGUGAAGAAGGCCUUCGGGUUGUAAAGCCCUUUUGUUGGGAAAGAAAUCCAGCUGGCUAAUACCCGGUUGGGAUGACGGUACCCAAAGAAUAAGCACCGGCUAACUUCGUGCCAGCCGCCGCGGUAA
rnacentral:rRNA from 1 species